AGCCCGGUGGUGUAGUGGCCAAAACAUAUUUUAAGACGUGUUGGCUAAGCAUUCGGGGUUCUGGACCCUGAGACGCCAGUUCGAAUCUGGCCCGGGCUACCA
rnacentral:tRNA from 1 species